rnacentral:rRNA from 1 species
UACAGAGGCCUCAAGCGUUGUUCGGAUUCAUUGGGCGUAAAGGGUGCGUAGGCGGCGCGGUAAGUCGGGUGUGAAAUCCCGAGGCUCAACCUCGGGUCUGCAUCCGAUACUGCCCGGCUAGAGGUAGGUAGGGGAGAUCGGAAUUCCUGGUGUAGCGGUGAAAUGCGCAGAUAUCAGGAGGAACACCGGUGGCGAAGGCGGGUCUCUGGGCAGUAACUGACGCUGAGGAGCGAAAGCGUGGGUAGCGAACAGG